GUUAAAUGAUGACCAUACCACAUUUAUCACGACGGUCUACUGUGUAAAGGGACCUGUUAAUCCCUUUACGUUGAUGAUAAGAAUGGCCCUUGACCGGGCCGUGGUUCCUGAUA
rnacentral:snoRNA from 1 species